rnacentral:rRNA from 1 species
UACGGGAGGCAGCAGUGGGGAAUAUUGGACAAUGGGCGAAAGCCUGACCGCGCGACGCCGCGUGGAGGAAGAAGGCCUUCGGGUUGUAAACUUCUUUUAUCAGGGACGAUUAUGACGGUACCUGAUGAAUAAGGGCCUGCUAACUACGUGCCAGCAGCCGCGGUA